CACGUAGGAGGCAAACGUUAUCCGGAUUUACUGGGCGUAAAGCGCGUGUAGGUGGUUCUGUAAGUAGGGCGUGAAAGCUCCCGGCUCAACUGGGAGAGGCCGUUCUAAACUGCAGAACUAGAGGAUGGUAGAGGGAGGUGGAAUUCCAGGUGUAGCGGUGGAAUGCGCAGAUAUCUGGAGGAACACCAGUGGCGAAAGCGGCCUCCUGGACCAUUCCUGACACUCAGACGCGAAAGCUAGGGUAGCAAACGGGAUUAGAUACCCGCGUAGU
rnacentral:rRNA from 1 species